GGGCAUUUCAAAAAAGAUGAUAUCCAAAGGGCCAAUAAAUAUGAAAUAUAUUUAACCACAGGGAAAUGUACAUUAAAACCACAAGUAGACACUACUACAUACUUACUAGAGGAACUAAAAUAGACUGGCAAUACCAAGUGUUGGCAAGAAUGUGAAGCAACUGUGACUUUUAUAUUUUGCUGGUGGGAUUGUAAAUUGGUUCACGCACUUUUUAAAAACUUGUUUUAAAUUUUUUUUUUAAGCCAGUCAUAUUUAGCAGUGUUUUUGUUUUAUUAAGAGACAAGGUCUCAUUAUGUUGUCCAGGUUGGUCUUGAGUUCCUGGGCUCAAGCCAUCCUCCCCGCUUGUACUCCCAAAGUGCUAGAAUUACAGGAGUGAUCACUGACCAUGCCUGGUGGGUUCAUACACUUUGGAAAACAGUUUGGCAGCAUCUACCACUGUAUUAGCUAAAAGUAUGCCCACCCUAUGACCAGAAAAUUAACUUCUUAGGUGAGAGAAGUACGUGCAUAUAUCCAUCAAAAGACAUGUUCAAGAUUAUUUACAGCAACUUUAUUCACGGCAGCCAAAAUGUCAAAAUAGCUCAAGAGUAUCAACUGGAGAAUAAACAAAUUUUAUACUCAUAUAAUGAGGUAAUAUAUGGCAAUAGAAAGAAUGAGCAAUAGAUAACCCAACAGCAUGAAUUAAUCUCACAUUCAUUCUGCUGAACAGAAUAAGCCAGAUACAAAAGGUAACUUUGUAUAUGACUUCAUUUAUGCUAGAAUCAAGAGAGGCAAAACAAAUCCAUGGUUAAACUUUCAGGGGGUGGAGGGGUGGGGGUAGGGAGGAACCAUCUGGGAUAUCUUUAUUAGAUAGAGAAAUGUCCUGGCCGGGCACGGUGGCUCAUGCCUGUAAUCCCAGCACUUUGGGAGGCCGAGGCAGGUGGAUCACGAGGUCAAGAGAUCGAGAAGAGACCAUCCUGGCCAACAUGGUGAAACUCGUCCCUACUAGAAAUGCAAAAAUUAGCCAGGUGUGGUGGCAUGCACCUGUAGUCCCAGCUACUCAGGAGCCUGAGGCAAGAGAAUUGCUUGAAUCUGGGAGGCAGAGGUUGCAGUGAGCCAAGAUCGCGCCACUGCACUCCAGCCUGCCAACAGAGCGAGACUCUGUCUCAAAAAACAAACAAACAAAAAAACAAAUGUUCUAUAUCUUGCUGAGCUCAGUGGCUCACACCUGUAAUUCCAGCCCUUUGGGAGGCCAAGGCAGGCGGAUCACCUGAGGUCAGGAGUUCAAGACCAGCCUGACCAACAUGGAGAAACCCCGUCUGUACUAAAAAUACAAAAAUUAGCUAUGCGUGGUGGCACAUGCCUGUAAUCCCAGCUAAUCCGGAGGCUGAGGCAAGAGAAUCGCUUGAAUCCAGGAGGUGGAAGUUGCAGUGAGCUGAGAUUGAGGCAUUGCACUCCAGCCUGGGCAACAAGAGUGAAACUCCGUCUGGAAAAAAAAAAAA
rnacentral:lncRNA from 1 species